rnacentral:rRNA from 1 species
GACGAACGCUGGCGGCGUGCCUAAUACAUGCAAGUCGAGCGAAGUGGAGAGAGCUUGCUCUCGAAGCUUAGCGGCGAACGGGUGAGUAACACGUGGGCAACCUGCCCGAUAGACCGGGAUAACUUGGGGAAACACAAGCUAAUACCGGAUAGGAUCAUUAACCGCCUGGUUGGUGAUGGAAAGUCUGAACGACACUAUCGGAUGGGCCCGCGGCGCAUUAGCUAGUUGGUGGGGUAACGGCCUACCAAGGCGACGAUGCGUAGCCGACCUGAGAGGGUGACCGGCCACACUGGGACUGAGACACGGCCCAGACUCCUACGGGAGGCAGCAGUAGGGAAUCUUCCACAACGGGCGAAAGCCUGAUGGAGCAACGCCGCGUGAGUGAUGAAGGUUUUCGGAUCGUAAAACUCUGUUGUUAGGGAAGAACACCCGGGAGAGGAUCCCGGUUUGACGGUACCUGACGAGAAAGCCCCGACUAACUACGUGCCAGCCGCCGCGGUAA